rnacentral:pre_miRNA from 1 species
AUUGUACUCCCUCCGUCCCAAAAUUCGUGUCUUAGAUUUGUCUAGAUACGGAUGUAUCAUACAUCCGUAUCUAGACAAAUCUAAGACAAGAAAUUUGGGACAGAGGGAGUAUAAU